rnacentral:rRNA from 1 species
GUAGGUGGCAAGCGUUGUCCGGAAUUAUUGGGCGUAAAGCGCGCGCAGGUGGUUCUUUAAGUCUGAUGUGAAAGCCCCCGGGCUCAACCGGGGAGGGUCAUUGGAAACUGGGGAACUUGAGUGCAGGAGAGGAAAGUGGAAUUCCACGUGUAGCGGUGAAAUGCGUAGAUAUGUGGAGGAACACCAGUGGCGAAGGCGACUUUCUGGCCUGUAACUGACACUGAGGCGCGAAAGCGUGGGGAGCGAACAGGAUUAGAUACCCUGGUAGUCCACGCCGUAAACGAUGAGUGCUAAGUGUUGGGGGGUUUCCGCCCCUCAGUGCUGCAGCUAACGCAUUAAGCACUCCGCCUGGGGAGUACGGUCGCAAAGACUG